AGCUCUUGGUACAGAUGGAUUAGGCACGAGAUGGGAGACUCGAAAGGAUGAUAGGUGACAUCGUGGGAUGGAGUUUCUAUUGCCGCAGUAGGCUAUCCCGAUCUGGUCUCAAGUAAGGUGGGUCACAACAUAUAACAAAGAUGGGAUCGAGUGGCCUGGCUCGAUUCUCAUGUUUGCCUAUCCAUAAGCAGUCAGAUAUUUACCCCAGGGCACGAGGGUGAGAACAUAGAACUCUCAAAAUUAGGUGGAGGUUGAAUGCCGAGUCGAGGUACAGAUUGUUGGAUUUUAGCACUUCGAAUUCGAUCCACAGCAGAAAAGCCCAAUAGGAGAAGCCCAGCAGACCAGGCAUGGAGAUACGGCUCACAGGCGUGCGGCCUGCAGGCACCUAAACCCGCAGUGCGCAGCCCAUGGCACA
rnacentral:lncRNA from 1 species